rnacentral:rRNA from 1 species
UUAAAAAGCUCGUAGUUGAAUUUCGGGGUCAGUAGGUUGGUCGUGCCACCGGUACGUACUGGUCUCACUGAUUCCUCCUUCCUGAUGAGCUGUAAUGCCAUUAAUUUGGUGUUGCAGGGAAUCUGGACUGUUACUUUGAAAAAAUUAGAGUGUUUAAAGCAGGCUAACGCUUGAAUACAUUAGCAUGGAAUAAUGAAAUAGGACGUUCGAUCCUAUUUUGUUGGUUUCUAGGAUUGACGUAAUGAUUAAUAGGGAUAGUUGGGGG